AUUCCAUGAUGUGGGAACUUCCUUUGCAACUCUUUAAAGUGUUCCCACGCAUCAUAUAAUGACUCCCCAGCCAGCUAAUGGAAGUUAUUGAUCUCUCCUCUAUAUU